rnacentral:rRNA from 1 species
UACAGAGGUCUCAAGCGUUGUUCGGAUUCAUUGGGCGUAAAGGGUGCGUAGGCGGCGCGGUAAGUCGGGUGUGAAAUCUCGGAGCUUAACUCCGAAACUGCAUUCGAUACUGCCGUGCUUGAGGACUGGAGAGGAGGGCGGAAUUCCCGGUGUAGCGGUGAAAUGCGUAGAUAUCGGGAGGAACAUCAGUGGCGAAGGCGGCCCUCUGGUCCAGUACUGACACUCAAGUGCGAAAGCGUGGGGAGCAAACAGG